GAUGUUGGCUUAGAAGCAGCCAUCAUUUAAAGAAAGCGUAAUAGCUCACUGGUCUAAUGGCUCUGCGCCGAAAAUGUAACGGGGCUAAGCAUGGUACCGAAGCUUUGGCAAUCCCCUUUGGGGAUUGGGUAGGGGAGCGUUCGCUGCGGGCUGAAGGUGUGCCGGAAGGCAUGCUGGACUGCAGUGAAGUGAUUAUGCUGACAUGAGUAGCGAUAAAAUAUGUGAAAAACAUAUUCGCCGAAAACCCGAGGUUUCCUGGGUAAAGGUAAUCUUCCCAGGGUUAGUCGGAUCCUAAGGUGAGGGUGAAAGCCGUAACCGAUGGAAAACAGGUUAAUAUUCCUGUACUUGUUGUGUAGCGCGAUGGAGGGACGCAGGAAGAUAGGCGGGCCGGGUGUUGGAUAUCCCGGUGCAAGCGUGUAGGAAUAUCCGGUAGGCAAAUCCGCCGGACGAAUCUGAGACGCGAGUCCGUGGGCGCAAGCCCUGAAGCCGUUGAGUCUAUGCUGCCUAGAAAAGCUCCUAAGUUUAUCCACAGCAAUCCGUACCGCAAACCAACUCAGGUGGGUGGGAUGAACAAUCCAAGGCGCUCGAGAGAACUCUGGCCAAGGAACUCGGCAAAAUAACCCCGUAACUUCGGAAGAAGGGGUGCUCUCUAGGGUGACAUGUUUAACAUAUGAAGCCCCGGGGAGCCGCAGUGAAUUGGUGGUGGCGACUGUUUACUAAAAACAUAGGUCUGUGCGAAGUCCUAAAGACGACGUAUACGGACUGACGCCUGCCCGGUGCUGGAAGGUUAAAAGGAGGGGUCAGCGCAAGCAAAGCUCCGAAUUGAAGCCCCAGUAAACGGCGGCCGUAACUAUAACGGUCCUAAGGUAGCGAAAUUCCUUGUCGGGUAAGUUCCGACCUGCACGAAUGGCGUAACGAUCUCCACACUGUCUCGGCCAGAGACUCGGUGAAAUUGCAGUCGCGGUGAAAAUUCCGUGUACCCGCAGAAAGACGGAAAGACCCUGUGCACCUUUACUAUAGCUUGACAUUGGAUUUUGGGCCUGCAUGUGUAGGAUAGGUGGGAGGCUGUGAACCCUGUACGCCAGUAUGGGGGGAGCCAUCCUUGAAAUACCACCCUUGCAUGUUUAAGAUCCUAACUUCUUCCGGUUAUCCCGGAGAAAGACAGUGUCUGGCGGGUAGUUUGACUGGGGCGGUCGCCUCCUAAAGUGUAACGGAGGCAUGCAAAGGUUCCCUCAGCCUGAUCGGAAACCAGGCGCUGAGUGCAAACGCAUAAGGGAGCUUGACUGUAAGAGAGACAUCUCGAACAGGAACGAAAGUUGGCGUUAGUGAUCCGGUGGUCCCGAAUGGAAGGGCCAUCGCUCAUUGGAUAAAAGGUACGCCGGGGAUAACAGGCUGAUCGCAUCCAAGAGUUCACAUCGACGAUGCGGUUUGGCACCUCGAUGUCGGCUCAUCACAUCCUGGGGCUGAAGUAGGUCCCAA
rnacentral:rRNA from 1 species